UAAAGUGCGAAAUGUAGUGCGAUUUGCAUGAAUCUGUGAGUCAUCUAAUCUUUGAACGCAACUUGCGCCUAAUAAGGCAUGUCUGUUUGAGUACCGCAAACUAACUGCAGCAAUGCAAAGUGGUCAUGGCGUUGGGCCUUGACUUGAAAGCGGCAUGUUUGCUGUUGGGUGUGCUAUCCCGUGUGCUAGAGACGCAAGACGCAAGUCGCGCAAGUCUUCUCACUGGGUGGCGGACCCCUCAGCUCUCUCGGUAUGUAUGUGUGAGGUGAAUGGAUAUGGUGCUUAUGUAUCGUGUCGUAUCAUAUCAUAUUAGCCAUAUCGGGCUAUUCUGUGUAUUCGGUCUCAAAUCAGGCAAGACUACCCGCUGAACUUAA
rnacentral:misc_RNA from 1 species